AGUCGGACGAGAAGGUUCCUUCGGGAACUGGAGAGUGGCGCACGGGUGAGUAACGCGUGGGGACCUACCUCUUAGUGGGGGAUAACGGUUGGAAACGACCGCUAAUACCGCAUACGCCCUUCGGGGGAAAGAUUUAUCGCUAAGAGAUGGACCCGCGUUGGAUUAGAUAGUUGGUGAGGUAACGGCUCACCAAGUCGGCGAUCCAUAGCUGGUUUGAGAGGAUGAUCAGCCACACUGGGACUGAGACACGGCCCAGACUCCUACGGGAGGCAGCAGUGGGGAAUAUUGGACAAUGGGGGCAACCCUGAUCCAGCCAUGCCGCGUGAGUGAAGAAGGCCUUCGGGUUGUAAAGCUCUUUCAGAUGCGAAGAUGAUAACGGUAACAUCAAAAGAAGCCCCGGCUAAUUUCGUGCCAGCAGCCGCGGUAAUACAAAAGGGGCUAGCGUUGUUCGGAUUUACUGGGCGUAAAGGGCACGCAGGCGGUCUUGCCAGUCAGGGGUGAAAGCCCGGGGCUCAACCCCGGAACUGCCUCUGAUACUGCAAGACUAGAGACUAGGGAGAGGGUGGGGGAAUUCCCCGUGUAGAGGUGAAAUUCCUAAAUAUUGGGAGGAACCCCAGAGGCGAAGGCGGCCCCCCUGGACUAGAUCUGACGCUCAGGUGCGAAAGCGUGGGGAGCAAACAGGAUUAAAUACCCUGGUAGUCCCCCCCCUAAACAAUGAAGGCUAGUUGUUCGGGAUUUUCAUUUCGGUGGACCCAGCUAACCCCUUAACACCUCCCCCCUGGGGAGAACGGUCCCCAAAAUAA
rnacentral:rRNA from 1 species